AGUCGAACGAGCCUUCGGGCUAGUGGCGGACGGGUGAGUAACGCGUGGGAAUCUGCCCUCAGGAGGGGGAUAACGGCCGGAAACGGCCGCUAAUACCCCAUAUGCCGAGAGGUGAAACGAAUUUCGCCUGGGGAUGAGCCCGCGUCUGAUUAGCUAGUUGGUGAGGUAAUGGCUCACCAAGGCAUCGAUCAGUAGCUGGUCUGAGAGGAUGAUCAGCCACACUGGGACUGAGACACGGCCCAGACUCCUACGGGAGGCAGCAGUGGGGAAUUUUCCGCAAUGGGCGCAAGCCUGACGGAGCAACGCCGCGUGAGGGACGAAGGCCUCUGGGCUGUAAACCUCUUUUCUCAAGGAAGAAGACAUGACGGUACUUGAGGAAUAAGCCACGGCUAAUUCCGUGCCAGCAGCCGCGGUAAUACGGGAGUGGCAAGCGUUAUCCGGAAUUAUUGGGCGUAAAGCGUCCGCAGGCGGCCUUGAAAGUCUGUUGUUAAAGCGUGGAGCUCAACUCCAUUUCAGCAAUGGAAACUACAAGGCUAGAGUGUGGUAGGGGCAGAGGGAAUUCCCGGUGUAGCGGUGAAAUGCGUAGAUAUCGGGAAGAACACCAGUGGCGAAGGCGCUCUGCUGGGCCAUAACUGACGCUCAUGGACGAAAGCCAGGGGAGCGAAAGGGAUUAGAUACCCCUGUAGUCCUGGCCGUAAACGAUGAACACUAGGUGUCGGGAGAAUUAACCCUCUCGGUGUCGUAGCCAACGCGUUAAGUGUUCCGCCUGGGGAGUACGCACGCAAGUGUGAAACUCAAAGGAAUUGACGGGGGCCCGCACAAGCGGUGGAGUAUGUGGUUUAAUUCGAUGCAACGCGAAGAACCUUACCAGGGUUUGACAUCCUGCGAAUCCCUUGGAAACUUGGGAGUGCCUUCGGGAACGCAGUGACAGGUGGUGCAUGGCUGUCGUCAGCUCGUGUCGUGAGAUGUUGGGUUAAGUCCCGCAACGAGCGCAACCCACGUCUUUAGUUGCCAGCAUUCAGUUGGGCACUCUAGAGAGACCGCCGGUGAUAAACCGGAGGAAGGUGUGGAUGACGUCAAGUCAUCAUGCCCCUUACAUCCUGGGCUACACACGUACUACAAUGCUACGGACAAAGGGCAGCAAACUCGCGAGAGCUAGCAAAUCCCAUAAACCGUGGCUCAGUUCAGAUCGUAGGCUGCAACUCGCCUACGUGAAGGAGGAAUCGCUAGUAAUCGCAGGUCAGCAUACUGCGGUGAAUACGUUCCCGGGCCUUGUACACACCGCCCGUCACACCAUGGAAGUUGGCCAUGCCCGAAGUCGUUACUCCAACCCGCAAGGGAGGAGG
rnacentral:rRNA from 1 species